rnacentral:lncRNA from 1 species
CCAUACUCAGUAUGUGAGGUUUAGAGUAUGGAUCCCAUCGUAUGUGUGAGCAUCACACAAGAUUCCCCUGUAACAAAUGACUGAAAACAGAUUUCUGCUAGAGUACAAACAGAAAACGAAUCAGGAUACAAGGAAGAGAGGUAUAAAACAAGAAGAGGAUAAAAGUAUAACAGAUUCUAUGAUCCUGCUUGACUAUUUAAAGUGGGAAUGCACUCCUGUGAUGUAGCAAUGUUCAUUGGAGAAAAGCACAACUGGGACUG